rnacentral:lncRNA from 1 species
UUGCUCACUGAUCAGCGCACAUUUGGGUGGGAGCUUUUUCCACCCCCUUAUAGUGUGGAAAUGCCCAAAUCCCAUGUACCUUCAAAGCUGCGCCUUACUGUAGAGACCCUUCGUUCUGAUGAAAAUGGUUUUUUGGGUCUUUUCAGGUAGUCUAUAUCAGUGGGUCUGAGGAGAGGAAGUGUCCAGCGUCUAGACUGCUGCCAUGCUUACCUGCAAUUUAGUCCAGAUGAGAGCUUAUCCUGGAACUUCCCUAAAGUACCUGCGGCUUCCUAAUUCUAGAAGAGCCUACAACUCAACUCCACCCACCUGAGAGCCUACUGAUCCUGUUACUUCUUUUCACAAGGCUUGCCCUUUUUCUCCCAUUAGUAAGGUUAGAUCCUCCACUUUUUGGAGCAUCCUAGACUUGCUUCCUCAUUUUAUUCCUUGCCCUUUUUUGACUUUAUUUAGUCCUCAAAACCAUUCUACUUCCCAACUUUUUUUAAAUUUAAUUUUCUGCAAUUACAUAUAGAUAAAA